rnacentral:rRNA from 1 species
AGUAACGCGUGGGUAACCUGCCUCAUACAGGGGGAUAACAGUUAGAAAUGGCUGCUAAUACCGCAUAAGCGCACAGCUUCGCAUGGAGCAGUGUGAAAAACUCCGGUGGUAUGAGAUGGACCCGCGUCUGAUUAGCUAGUUGGUAAGGUAACGGCUUACCAAGGCGACGAUCAGUAGCCGACCUGAGAGGGUGACCGGCCACAUUGGGACUGAGACACGGCCCAAACUCCUACGGGAGGCAGCAUG